UGCCAGCAGCCGCGGUAAUACGUAGGGGGCCAGCGUUGCUCGGAAUUACUGGGCGUAAAGGGUUCGUAGGCGGUGCGGCAAGUUGGGAGUGAAAUCUCUGGGCUUAACUCAGAGGCUGCUUUCAAAACUGCCGUGCUCGAGUGCGAGAGAGGUCAGUGGAAUUGCAGGUGUAGCGGUGAAAUGCGUAGAUAUCUGCAGGAACACCCGUGGCGAAGGCGGCUGACUGGAUCGUAACUGACGCUGAGGAACGAAAGCUAGGGGAGCAAACAGGAUUAGAUACCCUGGUAGUCCUAGCCCUAAACCACCAGAACUUGGGGUGCCCCGCGUAGGCGGGCCGUCCCGUAGCUAACGCGUUAAGUUCUGCGCCUGGGGAGUACGGUCGCAAGACUAAAACUCAAAGGAAUUGAUCGGGGGCCCGCACAAG
rnacentral:rRNA from 1 species